rnacentral:rRNA from 1 species
UACGUAGGGUGCAAGCGUUGUCCGGAAUUAUUGGGCGUAAAGAGCUCGUAGGCGGUCUGUCGCGUCUGCUGUGAAAACUCAGGGCUUAACCCUGAGCUUGCAGUGGGUACGGGCAGACUAGAGUGCGGUAGGGGAGACUGGAAUUCCUGGUGUAGCGGUGAAAUGCGCAGAUAUCAGGAGGAACACCGGUGGCGAAGGCGGGUCUCUGGGCCGGAUACUGACGCUGAGGAGCGAAAGCGUGGGGGAGCGAACAGG